rnacentral:rRNA from 1 species
GACGAACGCUGGCGGCGUGCCUAAUACAUGCAAGUAGAACGCUGAAGAGAGGAGCUUGCUCUUCUUGGAUGAGUUGCGAACGGGUGAGUAACGCGUAGGUAACCUGCCUUGUAGCGGGGGAUAACUAUUGGAAACGAUAGCUAAUACCGCAUAACAAUGGAUGACACAUGUCAUUUAUUUGAAAGGGGCAAUUGCUCCACUACAAGAUGGACCUGCGUUGUAUUAGCUAGUAGGUGAGGUAAUGGCUCACCUAGGCGACGAUACAUAGCCGACCUGAGAGGGUGAUCGGCCACACUGGGACUGAGACACGGCCCAGACUCCUACGGGAGGCAGCAGUAGGGAAUCUUCGGCAAUGGGGGCAACCCUGACCGAGCAACGCCGCGUGAGUGAAGAAGAUUUUCGGAUCGUAAAGCUCUGUUGUAAGUCAAGAACGGGUGUGAGAGUGGAAAGUUCACACUGUGACGGUAGCUUACCAGAAAGAGACGGCUAACUACGUG